rnacentral:rRNA from 1 species
GGACUACCCGGGUUUCUAAUCCCAUUUGCUCCCCUAGCUUUCGUUCCUCAGCGUCAGUUACAGCCCAGCGAGUCGCCUGCGCCACCGGUGUUCUUCCCAAUAUCUACGCAUUUCACCGCUACACUGGGAAUUCCACUCGCCUCUACUGCACUCCAGUCUGCCAGUAUCCAAUGCUAUACCCGGGUUGGGCCCGAGCCUUUUACAUCAGACUUAACAAACCGCCUACGAACUCUUUACGCCCAAUGAAUCCGGACAACGCUUGCAUCCUACGUCUUACCGCGGCUGCUGGCAC